UACGUAGGGGGCUAGCGUUGUCCGGAUUUAUUGGGCGUAAAGAGCGUGUAGGCGGCCAUGUAGGUCCGGUGUGAAAACUCGAGGCUUAACCUCGAGAUGUCAUCGGAAACCAUUUGGCUAGAGUCCGGAAGAGGAGAGUGGAAUUCCUGGUGUAGCGGUGAAAUGCGCAGAUAUCAGGAAGAACACCAAUGGCGAAAGCAGCUCUCUGGGACGGUACUGACGCUGAGACGCGAAAGCGUGGGGAGUGAACAGG
rnacentral:rRNA from 1 species